GACGAACGCUGGCGGCGUGCUUAACACAUGCAAGUCGAACGAAGUGGCGAACGGGUGAGUAACGCGUAAUCAACCUGCCCUUCAGAGGGGGGCAACAGUUGGGAACGCCUGCUAAUACCGCAUACUGAAGGAGGGGCUUUCGUCUGAUUAGCUAGUUGGAGGGGUAACGGCCCACCGAGGCGAUGUUCGGUAGCGGGCCUGAGAGGAUGAACGGGAACAUGGGGACUGAGACACGGCCCAGACUCCUACGGGUGGCAGCAGUGGGGAAUCUUCCGAAAUGGACGAAAGGCUGACGGAGCAACGCCGCGGGAGUGAUGACGGCCUGCGGGUUGUAAAGCUCUGUUAAUCUUGACGCGGUACCGGAAUAGAAAGCCACGGCUAACUACGUGCCAGCCGCCGCGGUAAUUC
rnacentral:rRNA from 1 species